rfam:Triticum aestivum genome assembly, contig: Triticum_aestivum_CS42_TGACv1_scaffold_472684_6AL
UUUCUACUCCCUUUGUCCAAAAAUACUUGUCAUCAAAAUGGAUAAAAAGAGAUGUAUCUAAAACUAAAAUACGUCUAGAUACAUUUCCUUUUAUCCAUUUUGAUGACAAGUAUUUCCGGACGGAGGGAGUAUUUG